rnacentral:rRNA from 1 species
GGGCUCGAACGUAAGAUGACUGUAGGUGAAAGCUUACAUCUCUUCGGAGCAUUUUACGAGGUGCUGCAUGGUUGUCGUCAGCUCGUGCCGUGAGGUGUCGGGUUAAGUCCCAUAACGAGCGCAACCCCUACCUUAGUUGCCAUCAGGUUAAGCUGGGGACUCUAAAGGAACUGCCUACGCAAGUAGUGAGGAAGCGGGGAUGACGUCAAAUCAGCACGGCCCUUACGUCCAGGGCUACACACGUGCUACAAUGGCCGAUACAGAGGGCAGCUACCUGGUGACAGGAUGCAAAUCUCCAAAGUCGGUCUCAGUUCGGAUCGGAGUCUGCAACCCGACUCCGUGAAGUUGGAUUCGCUAGUAAUCGCGCAUCAGCCAUGGCGCGGUGAAUACGUUCCCGGGCCUC